UGGGGAAUAUUGCACAAUGGGCGAAAGCCUGAUGCAGCAACGCCGCGUGAGCGAAGAAGGUCUUCGGAUCGUAAAGCUCUGUCCUUGGGGAAGAUAAUGACGGUACCCUUGGAGGAAGCCCCGGCUAACUACGUGCCAGCAGCCGCGGUAAUACGUAGGUGGCAAGCGUUGUCCGGAUUUACUGGGUGUAAAGGGCGUGUAGCCGGGUCUGCAAGUCAGAUGUGAAAUCCAUGGGCUUAACCCAUGAACUGCAUUUGAAACUGUGGAUCUUGAGUGCUGGAGGGGCAAUCGGAAUUCCUAGUGUAGCGGUGAAAUGCGUAGAUAUUAGGAGGAACACCAGUGGCGAAGGCGGAUUGCUGGACAGUAACUGACGGUGAGGCGCGAAAGUGUGGGGAGCAAACAGGAUUAGAUACCCUGGUAGU
rnacentral:rRNA from 1 species